UACGUAGGUGACUAGCGUUGUCCGGAUUUACUGGGCGUAAAGAGCGCGCAGGCGGUCGUUCAAGUCGAGUGUGAAAGCCCCCGGCUCAACUGGGGAGGGUCAUUCGAUACUGAUCGACUCGAAGGCAGGAGAGGGAAGCGGAAUUCCCGGUGUAGUGGUGAAAUGCGUAGAUAUCGGGAGGAACACCAGUGGCGAAGGCGGCUUCCUGGCCUGUUCUUGACGCUGAGGCGCGAAAGCUAGGGGAGCAAACAGG
rnacentral:rRNA from 1 species